GACGAACGCUGGCGGCGUGCUUAACACAUGCAAGUCGAACGGAAAGGCCCUGCUUUUGUGGGGUGCUCGAGUGGCGAACGGGUGAGUAACACGUGAGUAACCUGCCCUUGACUUUGGGAUAACUUCAGGAAACUGGGGCUAAUACCGGAUAGGAGCUCCUGCUGCAUGGUGGGGGUUGGAAAGUUUCGGCGGUUGGGGAUGGACUCGCGGCUUAUCAGCUUGUUGGUGGGGUAGUGGCUUACCAAGGCUUUGACGCGUAGCCGGCCUGGGAGGGUGACCGGCCACAUUGGGACUGAGAUACGGCCCAGACUCCUACGGGAGGCAGCAGUGCGGAAUAUUGCACAAUGGGCGGAAGCCUGAUGCAGCAACGCCGCGUGCGGGAUGACGGCCUUCGGGUUGUAAACCGCUUUCGCCUGUGACGAAGCGUGAGUGACGGUAAUGGGUAAAGAAGCACCGGCUAACUACGUG
rnacentral:rRNA from 1 species